UACGGAGGGGGCUAGCGUUAUUCGGAAUUAUUGGGCGUAAAGGGCGCGUAGGCGGCUUGAUAAGUCAAAGGUGAAAUCCCUCGGCUCAACUGAGGAACUGCCUUUGAAACUGUCGAGCUUGAGGCCGGGAGGGGGUAGCGGAAUUCCCAGUGUAGCGGUGAAAUGCGUAGAUACUGGGAGGAACACCGGUGGCGAAGGCGGCUACCUGGACCGGUUCUGACGCUGAGGCGCGAAAGCGUGGGUAGCAAACAGG
rnacentral:rRNA from 1 species